UUUUUUUUUUUUUUCGUCAUGAGAAAAUAUCAGCUAAAUCCAAGUUGAGGAAUAUUCUACAAAUCUUGCUCAAGAUUCUCGGCACACAUGUGCAUGCGUUUACAUUGGACAUGUCCAUUAGAGUGGAAUUAAUGUUUAUAAGGCUUGCAUACAUUUAAUUUUAGUGGAUAAUACCUGUUUUAUAAAGUGGGUUCCAAUUUACCACCAUUGGAGUGCGACUGUCACUCCCCAUCCCCGCCACAUGUCCUGUGGGUCUUACAAACUUUAGCCUUUCUGGUGGGUGUGUAGUGAUAUUUAAUGGUGGUUUCAAUUAGAAGAGCCCUGAUGACACUGAUAUAAAGCACUACUUCAUUGGCUAUCCUUUUUGUGAAGUGCUUGUUCAAGCCAUUUGUCCAUUUACUCCACUUUCAUUUUCUUUGGUAAGUUUCUAAUGAUUAUGGGAAGGCUUUAUUGAUUCAGGACUGAGAACUUGUUAACUAUGUGUGUUGCAAUAACUCCUAUGUGUUGGUUUACGUUCAAUUCCUUGAUGAUGUCUUCUAAUGAGAAGAAGCUCUUAUUUGCCAAUUUUUUCCUUUAUGGAGAAUACUUUUGUGUUCUAUCAGGAAAUAUCUGCCUACCCCAAGGACAUAAAGAUAUUCUCUUCCCUUAUUAUCUAGAACUGUACUGUUUAAUAUAAGUAGCCAUUAGCCACAUGUGGAUAUUUAAACAUAAAUUAGGUAAAAUAAAAACAAAGUGAAAAUUUAGUGGUUGAGUUACACUAGCCAUAUUUCACCUGCUCAAAACCAGUAUGUGGCUGUGGCUACCAUCUAGGAGGGUUCAGAUGUGAAGCAUUUCCAUCACCAUACAAGUUCUAUUGGCAACACUGAUCAAGGGGCUCUGUAAUAGGGGUUUUCCUCUUACAUUUAGAUUGGCAAUGCACAGGUACGGAUUGCUUGGUGGCGAGGCAGAAGUCAUUCUGCUUUUCCCCAAGUGGAUAUCCAGUUGACCAGGCAUAAUUUUUUGAAAACACCUGCUCCUUCUCUACUGCUGUGUGGUACAAACUUCGUUGUAAUAAAAAUGUCCACUUAUAAGAGGCUCUAUUUCUGGCCUCUUAUCCUGUUCUAUUCUAUUUCUAUCUCUCCUUGUAUCAAUAACACGUUCUCUUAAUUACUAUGACUUUGUAAACUGUUCAAAACCCAGUAGCUUAUCUUAAUGUUGGCCAUUUUCAUCUAUAUACAUUCUGGAACCAACUUGUGAAUUUCCACCAAAAUAUUAAUUUUCUGGAAACUCUAUUAGGGCUUCAUGUUAUCUACCUAACACUAUGGGAAAGAACUAACAUCAUUGCAUAUAUUUCCAUUUCCAUUUAUUUUAUUGAUGUUAUAUAUUUUUCUGUAUAGAAAAUUGACUUGAUUAACAUGACGGUGUCUUGCCCAUUUUUAAUAAAAAUAUGCGUUAUUUUAAAAUGCUAUUUUGGUACUUUGGUUCAUUUUUUAAAACAUUUGAACCAACGAUAAAGUUACAGAAAAGUUUUAAGGACAGAUUUUUUUUUUUUUUUAGGCUUAAUUCACUUUAUUUUUCUUGUAUAAAACCCCUAUGUUGUAGCCACAGUUGGAGCCUGGGUCUGCUGCACGGAGACUCUGGUGUGGGUCUUGACAAGGUGGUCCAUGAAUUCCUGAUAGGGAGACUUGGUAAACACAGUCUCCUUCCAGAGGUCAGGGGUCAGGUAGCUGUAGGUCUUAGAGAUGGCAUCAAAG
ensembl:lncRNA